rnacentral:rRNA from 1 species
CCUACGGGAGGCAGCAGUGGGGAAUUUUGGACAAUGGGGGCAACCCUGAUCCAGCCAUGCCGCGUGAGUGAAGAAGGCCUUCGGGUUGUAAAGCUCUUUCAGCCGGGACGAAACGGUUACGGUUGA